rnacentral:rRNA from 1 species
GACGAACGCUGGCGGCGUGCCUAAUACAUGCAAGUUGAGCGAUGAAGAUUGGUGCUUGCCCCAAUUUGAAGAGCAGCGAACGGGUGAGUAACGCGUGGGGAAUCUGCCUUUGAGCGGGGGACAACAUUUGGAAACGAAUGCUAAUACCGCAUAACAACUUUAAACAUAAGUUUUAAGUUUGAAAGAUGCAAUUGCAUCACUCAAAGAUGAUCCCGCGUUGUAUUAGCUAGUUGGUGAGGUAAAGGCUCACCAAGGCGAUGAUACAUAGCCGACCUGAGAGGGUGAUCGGCCACAUUGGGACUGAGACACGGCCCAAACUCCUACGGGAGGCAGCAGUAGGGAAUCUUCGGCAAUGGACGAAAGUCUGACCGAGCAACGCCGCGUGAGUGAAGAAGGGUUUCGGAUCGUAAAACUCUGUUGGUAGAGAAGAACGUUGGUGAGAGUGGAAAGCUCAUCAAGUGACGGUAACUACACAGAAAGGGACGGCUAACUACGUG